GUGGUUGCUUGGGCAGCACAGGUACUAAAAUUGGAAUGAAUCACAGAAGACUUCAAAGCCCCAGGGCAAGGAUGACAUGCAAAUUCAUAAAGUGCUCCAUGUUUUU